GGAUCAUUAUCGAAUAAACUUGAACAGGCUGUUGCUGUCCCUUCACUGGGUAUGUGCACGCUUGCCAUCUUUAUUUUCUCCAACUGUGCACCUUUUGUAGACCUGAAAUGAUCUUUUUUGAAUCGAGUUGGGGACUGCUGUGCCAACCACCGGCUUUCCCUUGUAUUUUUUCCAGGCUAUGUCCUUUGGUUCACAAACCUAUGGAAUUGUUUUAAAAUGGUGAAACCAGGUGGUUUUAUGUACCUUUAAAAAAUACCACUUUCAACAACCGAACUCUUGGCUCUCGCAUCCAUGAAAAACCCAACCAAAUGGCAUAAAUAAUGGGAAUUGCAAAAUUCCAUGAAUCAUCCAAUCCUUGAACGCAUCCUGGGCUCCUUGGUAUUCCCAAGAACAUGGCUGGUUGAAUGGCAUUUAAAUUCCCAACCACAUGCACAUUGGUGUGCCCUGGGGCUUGGAUAUUGGGGGCAUCAUUUGCGCGCCCUGAAAAAAAGGUCUGCUCUCCUGAGAUGUAUUAACGGUAUCUGCUACUACACGUGUGAUAAUUUAUCUGUGCCUUUUGUAUUGUGCAAUGGGUAUACUGUGUCUCAACAACACAUGUUUUGAUGAAAUUGAACUCCAAUCAAGUAAGACUACCCGCUGAACUUAA
rnacentral:rRNA from 1 species